rnacentral:rRNA from 1 species
GAUGAAUGCUGGCGGCGUGCCUAACACAUGCAAGUCGAGCGGCAGCGCAGUCUUCGGACUGGCGGCGAGCGGCGGACGGCUGAGUAACGCGUGGGAACGUACCCCAAAGUGAGGAAUAACUGCCCGAAAGGGUAGCUAAUGCCGCAUAUGGUCUUCGGAUUAAAGGAUUUAUCCGCUUUGGGAACGGCCUGCGUACGAUUAGAUUGUUGGUGAGGUAAUGGCUCACCAAGUCGACGAUCGUUAACUGGUCUGAGAGGAUGAUCAGUCAGACUGGAACUGAGACACGGUCCAGACUCCUACGGGAGGCAGCAGUGAGGAAUCUUCCACAAUGGGCGAAAGCCUGGUGGAGCAACGCCGCGUGCAGGAUGAAGGCCUUCGGGUCGUAAACUGCUUUUAUAAGUGAAGAAUAUGACGGUAACUUAUGAAUAAGCACCGGCUAACUACGUGCCAGCCGCCGCGGUAA